UACGUAGGGUGCAAGCGUUAUCCGGAAUUAUUGGGCGUAAAGAGCUCGUAGGCGGUUUGUCGCGUCUGCUGUGAAAACUGGAGGCUCAACCUCCAGCCUGCAGUGGGUACGGGCAGACUAGAGUGCGGUAGGGGAGAUUGGAAUUCCUGGUGUAGCGGUGGAAUGCGCAGAGUAUCAGGAGGAACACCGAUGGCGAAGGCCAGAUCUCUGGGCCGUAACUGACGCUGAGACGCGAAAGCGUGGGGAGCAAACAGG
rnacentral:rRNA from 1 species